rnacentral:tRNA from 2 species
GAGGGUGUAGCUCAGUAGGUAGAGCACUGGGUUGUGGUCCCAGUUGUCGCGGGUUCAAAUCCCGUCAUCCUCCCCA